ACAGCAGCAGCCGCGGGAAUACGGAGGGGGCUAGCGUUGUUCGGAAUUACUGGGCGUAAAGCGCACGUAGGCGGCUUUGUAAGUUAGAGGUGAAAGCCCGGGGCUCAACCCCGGAAUUGCCUUUAAGACUGCAGAGCUAGCAGGUGAGAGAGGUGAGUGGAAUUCCGAGUGUAGAGGUGAAAUUCGUAGAUAUUCGGAAGAACACCAGUGGCGAAGGCGGCUUACUGGCUCAUACUGGACGCUGAGGUGCGAAAGCGUGGGGGGCAAACAGGAUUAGAGACCCCAGUAGUCCCUGUCUCUUAUAC
rnacentral:rRNA from 1 species